CCAGCAGAUUUCUUUGGCAUUCUGUCCACCUCCAUAUUCAUUGAUCUAUGUAUCUCACUGUUGUGUAAAUGUGUAAUUAGGGUUUAUUGGUUUGAUAAGAAAAGAGAAAUAAUCUAGUGCAAGAUUUUGUUUUCUUUUUCUUGUGUGUGUAAUCUGUGUUUAGUUAAGAGUGUGGAGGUGGGCAUACUGUCAAUGGAGCUCUGUUGG
rnacentral:pre_miRNA from 2 species